UACGUAGGGACCAAGCGUUGUUCGGAUUUACUGGGCGUAAAGGGCGCGUAGGCGGUGCCACAAGUCACCUGUGAAAUCUCCGGGCUUAACUCGGAGCCUGCAGGCGAAACUGUGGUGCUGGAGUGUGGGAGAGGUGCGUGGAAUUCCCGGUGUAGCGGUGAAAUGCGUAGAUAUCGGGGAGGAACACCAGUGGCGAAGGCGGCGACCUGGACGGACACUGACGCAUGAGACGGCGAAAAGCGUGGGGAGCAAACACGG
rnacentral:rRNA from 1 species